UACGGAGGGGACUAGCGUUGUUCGGAAUUACUGGGCGUAAAGCGCACGUAGGCGGGUUUGUAAGUCAGGGGUGAAAUCCCGGGGCUCAACCUCGGAACUGCCUUUGAUACUGCAAAUCUCGAGUCCGGAAGAGGUGAGUGGAAUUCCUAGUGUAGAGGUGAAAUUCGUAGAUAUUAGGAAGAACACCAGUGGCGAAGGCGGCUCACUGGUCCGGUACUGACACUGAGGAGCGAAAGCCAGGGGAGCAAACGGG
rnacentral:rRNA from 1 species